rnacentral:rRNA from 1 species
AUUGAACGCUGGCGGCAGGCUUAACACAUGCAAGUCGAACGAGUGGCGGACGGGUGAGUAAUGCUUGGGAAUCUGGCUUAUGGAGGGGGAUAACGACGGGAAACUGUCGCUAAUACCGCGUACCACAGGAUGAGGCCAAGUGGGAUGAGGUAGUUGGUGGGGUAAUGGCCUACCAAGCCGACGAUCACUCGCUGUUCAGAGAGGAUGAACAGCAACAUCGGGAAUGAGCGUGGGCCCGGACUCCUACGGGAGGCAGCAGUGGGGAUGAUUGCGCAAUGGUGGCAACCUGACGCAGCCAUGCCGCGUUAAUGAAGAAGGCCUUCGGGUUGUAAAGUUCUUUCGGUAACGAUGCGUUAAUCACAGAAGAAGCACCGGCUAACUCCGUGCCAGCCGCCGCGGUAAUUC